UCGCACAACCAACACUUCAAAAGUUGAACGAAUUGGUCUACGAAGUUUUGCCUCAUCCACCAUAUUCACCUGAUCUCUCACCAUUCAACUACCACUUCUUCAAGCAUCUUGACAACUUUUAGUAGAGAAAAUGCUUCCAUACCCAGCAGGAGGCAGAAAAUGCUUUCCAAGAGUUCAUUGAAAUUCAAAGCAUGGAUAUGUAUGCUACAGGAAUAAACAAACUUAUCUCUGAUUGGAAAAAUGUGUUGAUUGUAAUGGCUCCUAUUUUGAUUUGUCUGAGCCUAGUUAUAAUGAUUUAAAUCCAUGAUCUGAAACUGCAAUUACAUUUGUACCAACCUAAUACCUAUAUAUACAUAAGAUCCUAUUGGUUCUCUUUCUCAGGAGAACCCUGACUAAUGCGAAGGGGAUAUAAUUUGUGUCCUUACUUCCUAGAUCUUCAAUUGAAAGGAACUAUAUUCAAGGAGUUGUACCCAAGGAAGUACACUAGCUUUUAUUAUUGGACUUUAUCUUGUAAGCCAAUGUGUGACUCUUUGUCUUUUGUCAGAGAGAUGUCCAAGGACUUUAUUGAUUGAUUCUAGGGGAUGUUGCUUGUUUCUAACAUUUUAAUCAUAAAUGCAGCGUCUGAAUGGCUCUCCAACCCUGGGAGGGAAGAUGCUAUAUGUAGUGACUGAGCUCUCAGCUGUCUUCUCAAUGGCAACGGAAUUCUCUGAUGAGUUUAAAAGCUAAAGCCAAGCCAGGAAGAGGAAGACAAGAUGAGGAACCCCAAAUCAAGAUCUUCCAUAUUUGUUCCUGAAAAUAUUGAAGGUCUGAAAAAUGCUGCUGGAACUAGAGUUGAAGCUCCAAAAAUAUACUCACUUCACUCAGCUGUGAUGCCAUGGACUGUAACCUGCCAGGCUUCUU